rnacentral:miRNA from 12 species
AGAGCAUAUUGUACAAAGGGUGU